GGUCCCCUUAUUUCUUUCUCUAUACUUUGUCUCUGUGUCUUUUUCUUUUCCAAGUCUCUCGUUCCACCUUACGAGAAACACCCACAGGUGUGGAGGGGCAACCCACCCCUUCAAGCCUCUGCUCCUCCACCCUAUAAUUCUUUUAUCACCUCCCCUCCACACACCCGUCCGGCUUACAGUUUCAUUCCGUGACUAGCCCUCCCCCACCUGCCCAGCAAUUUACUCUUAAAAAGGUGGCUGGAGCUAAAGGCAUAGUCAAGGUUAAUGCUCCUUUUUCUUUAUCCCAAAUCAGAUAGCGUUUAGGCUCUUUUUCAUCAAAUAUAAAAAACCCAGCCCAGUUCAUGGCUCGUUCGGCAGCAACCCUGAGAUGCUUUACAGCCCUAGACCUAAAAGGUCAAAAGGCUGUAUUAUUCUCAAUAUACAUUUUAUUACUCAAUCUGCUCCCGACAUUAAAUAAAACUCCAAAAAUUAAAUUCCAGCCCUCAAACCCCACAACAGGAUUUAAUUAACCUCACCUUCAAGGUGUACAAUAAUAGAAAAAAGUCGCAAUUCCUUGCCUUUACUGUGAGACAAACCCCAGCCACAUCUCCAGCCCACAAGAACUUCCAAACGCCUAAACCGCAGUGGCCAGGCGUUCCUCCAGAACCUCCUCCCCCAGGAACUUGCUACAAGUGCCAGAAAUCUGACCACCAGGCCGAGGAAUGCCUGCAGCCCAGGAUUCCUCCUAAGCCGUGUCCCAUCUGCGCGGGACCCCACUGGAAAUCGGACUGUUCAACUCACCUGGCAGCCACUCCCAGAACCCCUGGAAUUCUGGCCCAAGGCUCUCUGACUGACUCCUUCUCGGCUUAGCAGCUGAAGACUGAUGCUGCCUGAUCGCCUUGGAAGCCCCGUAGACCAUCGCGGAUGCCGAGCUUUAAGUAAUCUCACAGUGGAGGAAGACAGGAAUGUCAGCCCUCUGGGCCCAAGCUAAGCCAUCAUAUCCCCUGUGACCUGCACGUACACAUCCAGAUGGCUGGUUGCUGCCUUAACUGAUGACAAUCCACCACAAAAGAAGUGAAAAUGGCCCGUUCCUGCCUUAACUGAUGACAUUGUCUUGUGAAAUUCCUUCUCCUGGCUCAUCCUGGCUCAAAAGCUCCCCCACUGAGCACCUUGUGACCCCCACUCCUGCCUGCCAGAGAACAACCCCCUUUGACUGUAAUUUUCCUUUAUCUACCCAAAUCUUAUAAAAUGGCCCCACCCCUAUCUCUCUUCACUGACUCUCUUUUUGGACUCAGC
rnacentral:lncRNA from 1 species